rnacentral:lncRNA from 1 species
GGAUCUGGGCGCUCAAUUGAUGGGUGGAUCUGGGAGCUGUGAAUCGCCGGUGGUGUGUGGCUGGGGGCGGUGGUGGCGGCAGAGGGUUGCAGCGCCGGGUGGGGGAAGGGGAAGACGAUGGGUGGGGUGGGGAAGAUGAUGACAUAGAUGGAUCUGGGGACGGUGGUGGCGGCAAAGGGUGGCAGCGCCGGGUGGGGGAAGGGGAAGACGAUGGGUGGGGUGGGGAAGAUGAUGACAUAGAUGGAUCUGGGAGCUGUGUUUCGCAGAGGUGAGGGAAUCGCCGGUGGAGGGUGCGGCUGAGACUGAGCUCGCCGGUGGCGCGCGAAUCGCCGGUGGUGUGUGGCUGGGGGCAGUGGUGGCGGCAGAGGGUGGCAGCGCCGGGUGGGGGAAGGGGAAGGCGAUGGGUGGGGUGGGGAAGAUGAUGACAUAGAUUUUUUUAUUUUUUUUUAUUUUUUUUAAUUCCACAUGUCAUGAAUAGGCUAUGUGUCAAUUUCCGGCUGCCAAAUCAGCGAUUCCGGCUGCCACAGUGGCAUUUCCGGCGCCGGCGUAAGAAAAAACCGGUGACCGGACAAAUUUGAGACAAAAACGAAAGGUUAGGUAUUUAAAAGUAGAAAAAUAAAAAAAGGUGCAAAAACCAAUUCGGUGUAAACGUUAGGAAUUUACAGGCAAUUACCCCUAAAAAUAAUACUUUAUAAAAAAAAAUAAUAAAUAAAUAAAUAAAAAAAUAAAAAAAGAGUAAUUGAUCUAAUAUAAUUUGAGGUGAAAUU